GACGAACGCUGGCGGCGUGCCUAAUACAUGCAAGUAGGACGCAGUUGCGAACGGGAGAGUAACGCGUAGGUAACUACCUAUUAGUGGGGGCUAACUAUUGUAAACGAUAGCUAAUACCGCAUACUAGUAGAUGGACCUGCGUUGUAUUAGCUAGUAGGUAGGGUAAUGGCCUACCUAGGCCACGGUACAUAGCCGACCUGGGAGGGGGAACGGCCACACUUGGACUGGGGCACGGGCCAGAACUCUACGGGAGGCAGCAGUAGGGAAUCAUCGGAAAUGGGGCGAACCCUGAACGAGCAACGCCGCGUUAGUGAAGGAGGUUUUCGGAUCGUAAAGCUCUGUUGUUAAGGAAGCGGUACUUAACCAGAAAGGGACGGCUAACUACGUGCCAGCAGCCGCGGUAAUAC
rnacentral:rRNA from 1 species